CAAUAGCGUAUAUUUAAGUUGCUGCAGUUAAAAAGCUCGUAGUUGGAUUUCGGGUGGGAAUGGCCGGUCCGCCGUUUCGGUGUACACUUGCUACGCCCACCUUGCUGCCGGGGACGUGCUCUUGAGUUCACGCUCGGGACACGGAGUCGGCGAGGUUACUUUGAGUAAAUUAGAGUGUUCAAAGCAGGCCUACGCUCUGAAUACAUUAGCAUGGAAUAACACGAUAGGACUCUGGCCUAUCUUGUUGGUCUGUAGGACCGGAGUAAUGAUUAAGAGGGACAGUCGGGGGCAUUCGUAUUUCAUUGUCAGAGGUGAAAUUCUUGGAUUUAUGAAAGACGAACUACUGCGAAAGCAUUUGCCAAGGAUGUUUUCAUUAA
rnacentral:rRNA from 1 species